AAUCAUCAUCAAAGAGAAGCAAAGAAAGCCAAAGAAAAGAGAGUGUGAUCCAGCUGGAGUCUACUCAUCAGUGCGAACUGGAGACGUCAGUUAUGGACAAAUCACCAUCAAAGACAAGAAAAACAGAUCAAAGACCAGAGCCAGUGGAGGGAAAUCUGGAGGUGAUGACAUCACAUACAGUGACCUCAAAAUAUUACAUCAUCACCAGCAGCAGCCAACCAACCAGAGCAGAGAGCUUCCAUCAAAUCCAAAUGUUGUCUAUUCCUCACUGAAGAAAUCUGCAAGUCCAACCUAACAACCAGCUGCUGGUCCACACAGGCCGUCAGACCAGAGGGCUUUCGUUAUAAAACAGAUGUGUAUGUAUUCUGUUUGAUCUCUUCAUUAAAUGCACUCACAGAACUGCAGACGGACAAAGAAAAACUGAAUGUGGUGAUGAGACGUUUUUGUAAAGAAGCUCAAAAAAAAGUAUUUUUGUCACACUGCCUCUCUAUGUCUGCAAGGCCAAAACAGAAACAUUAUACUGUAUGUAUAUGCUAUGCAUUAUAUAGUCUAUAACUGAUAAAUAAACAUAAUGCAAUGUAUUUAAAAUAAUCAGUA